GUUUGAACUAGGCUUCUGAUAAAACCAGUUUUUUAAAUCAAAUACUAACUGGUAUUUUUUAUUAUAAAGUAUACAUAGAAUAUUAAUACUUCGUGAAUAUAUCUGACCAGCUUUACAUAAAGGUUUAGUGCUUUGAUGAUUUUUAGAAGUGUUCCUUGGAAACAGUAAUGUUUUUCAUUGCGUGAAUUCUUUUAAUCUUGUUCUUUUCUAUUUGGCAAGGAGAGAGGAUGAGGUUUCCCAUUCUGUUGUUCCAAACACUAUGCUUGGAAGGAAGAGGAACGGUGACUGGGGAGCCACUGAGAGUGAUGUUGGGUCAUCUCAGCAAAGCCCUUACAGAGUGGGAGGAAAAGCACCCACCUACCAGGAAGAACAAGGGAGGGUUACUUUAACCAGAUAUAGCUUUGUGAACCAAAGACUUUAUUGGGGUGAUUGGGAAUUUUCCAGGCUGCGUAAAAUCUCCAGAAAGUUUGAGUUAGGUGUUACUUACUCGUGCAUGUGGAUCUAAACUCAGCUAAACUGGAUCUAAUUCUCUUUAAUUGCUAAUCUGUAUAUAAUUUUCACAAGCCUCGCUUUCAUUCCCUGUAGAUACAAGUCUCACUGACAAACAUUAUAUUAAAAUCACCCUGCUUUCUUAACAAUUUGAAAAUCUUUCAGUAAGAAGCAAAUUAUCCUAACAAUUUCUUCCUAAAUUGUAUUCUUGUAUAAGUGAACUUCUCAACAGUUUCUGCUGCGACACAUAAAAUAAAGCAAAGAUAUGAAAAAGAGUCUCUGUUGAAUGUCAAACUGCACUGAUAAUCCAUUGUGUCUAGUUGUGUUUAGUAUGGGAAGUUAGAAAAUGCCUGUUGCUAACAUCAGCCAAGCUGAGUUUAAGCUGUCCCCCCCUCCCACUCCUGCCUCUCACUUCUCUACUGCAUCUAAUAGCAUAACUUUUUGACCAUAACUAUUUCUGCUGCAGAUAACUCAAUUUCUCCUAUCCAAUAUAAUUAUUACUGGGGGAAACAAGAGGGGAAAGGUAUUCUAUCUAAUUUUCUAUGACUGCCUCAUCUAGAAUGUAUACCUCUGCCUGCCCCAAGCACAGUGCUGCACAUUUUAUUUGUGCCACUGUACUGGUCAUAGGACACAAAAAGGCUCAUUUUUUCAUACCUCUCUCAUCUGUAAGCAUGGUAUAUAAAUCACUGCAGUGUUGCUAACAGCAUGUGACUGACAAUCUUGCUUGAUAGACAAUCUGUGAUCCCUUCAGCCUUUUACUAAUAAGCUCAUUAGGAUAAAAGAGCUGAAAAUACUUUCUAGGAUAUAGCAAUGAACCUCAGUAAAUUCAGUGCAUGUCUGAUCACUCAAACUUUAGAGAAUCAAUCUCUCUUCAAUCAAAACUUUGUCAGGUUCUGCUGAAUGCCUUCUGAAGGUUACCACGUUUUUCUCACUUUUUUUUUUUUUUUUUUAAUACAGGUUUCUUAGCAAACCCAACAAGCUUUCCAAAGUUAAGAAAGUCAGCAAGCACAAAAUGGUUCUGAUUUUCUUUCCUUUAACAAGUUCAGAUUUUGAAAACCCUUUUUAAAAAACACAUUUUUCUUAAUGUAUGACCUUAUUUUGCAUGAACUUUUCAAUAAGCAUUGUUAUUUUGAAGAGUUGUAGGAUAUCUACCGCCUGUUAGCAUUAGUCUUUAGACUGAGACUUCCAAAAUGCAAUUGGGAAACUACCUGAACAGCAACUAAAUAAAUUAUUUCAUUCUUUGCCAGAGAAUUAUAAAAAUAG
ensembl:lncRNA